rnacentral:rRNA from 1 species
GACGAACGCUGGCGGCGUGCUUAACACAUGCAAGUCGAGCGGUAAGGCCCUUUCGGGGGUACACGAGCGGCGAACGGGUGAGUAACACGUGGGUGACCUGCCUCUAGCUCUGGGAUAAGCCUGGGAAGCUGGGUCUAAUACCGGAUAUGACCUCGCGGUGCAUGUUGCGGGGUGGAAAGCCUUGUGCGGCUAGGGAUGGGCCCGCGGCCUAUCAGCUUGUUGGUGGGGUGANGGCCUACCAAGGCGACGACGGGUAGCCGGCCUGAGAGGGCGACCGGCCACACUGGGACUGAGACACGGCCCAGACUCCUACGGGAGGCAGCAGUGGGGAAUCUUGCGCAACGGGCGAAAGACCUGACGCAGCGACGCCGCGUGA